GAUCAGGUAGGGAUACCCGCUGAACUUAAGCAUAUCAAUAA
rnacentral:rRNA from 1 species